rnacentral:rRNA from 1 species
AACGAACGCUGGCGGCAUGCCUAACACAUGCAAGUCGAACGAGCACUUCGGGUGUAGUGGCGCACGGGUGCGUAACGCGUGGGAACCUUCCCUUAUGUUCGGCAUAACUCUCCGAAAGGGGUGCUAAUACCGGAUCAUGUCUUCGGACCAAAGAUUUAUCGCCUUUGGAUGGGCCCGCGUUGGAUUAGCUAGUUGGUAGGGUAAAAGCAUACCAAGGCGACGAUCCAUAGCUGGUCUGAGAGGAUGAUCAGCCACACUGGGACUGAGACACGGCCCAGACUCCUACGGGAGGCAGCAGUGGGGAAUAUUGGAAAGCGGGCGAAAGCCUGAUCCAGCAAUGCCGCGUGAGUGAUGAAGGCCUUAGGGUUGUAAAGCUCUUUUACCCGGGAUGAUAAUGACAGUACCGGGAGAAUAAGCUCCGGCUAACUCCGUG